GACAGAGGGUGCAAACGUUGUUCGGAAUUACUGGGCGUAAAGCGCGUGUAGGCGGCUUUGCAAGUCGGGCGUGAAAUCCCACGGCUCAACCGUGGAAGCGCACUCGAAACUGCAGAGCUAGAGUCCUGGAGAGGAAGGUGGAAUGCUUGGUGUAGAGGUGAAAUUCGUAGAUAUCAAGCGGAACACCGGUGGCGAAGGCGGCCUUCUGGACAGUGACUGACGCUGAGACGCGAAAGCGUGGGGAGCAAACAGG
rnacentral:rRNA from 1 species